CAACUACUCCCUCUGUCCCAAAUUUCUUGUCUUAGAUUUAUCUAGAUACGGAUGUAUCUAAUACUAAAAUGUGACUUGAUACAUCUGUAUCUAGACAAAUCUAAGACAAGAAUUUUGGGACGGAGGGAGUACUUU
rnacentral:pre_miRNA from 1 species